CUGUAGCGCAUCAUUUGUCUACGAUCAUGGAGCAAACAGAAGUUCUCAAUUUGUCCGCUUCAGACACUCUUUUGGGCAGCAAGCGUUUGAAGUGUAAGAAGGCACUCAGUAGAAGAAAGGAUACUCUGGCAGACAAUCCUGUAAUUAUUGGAGGCUGCACAGAAGUAGCAGCCCGACACUUUUGUCUCCCUCCAGCAUCUCCGUCUAUCUAUGUCUCCGUCCCCACAACUCGGUCCACUGUUGGACCCGUUGGGGGCCAGCUAUUCAGAGGCCGGGACGAACAUCCUCCGGUACCGGGUCUAGCAGAGGCUGGCUAUACAAUGGCUCCCCCUUCCAUGUAUUCCCAACAAACAGGCCGUGUUGUGGUGUACUACACGGUGAGAAGGGUUGAUGUUAUUCAAGUUUGUUGAUGACACAGCCAUCGUUGGAUGCAUAAGGGGUGACAGUGAGGAGGAGUACAGGAGCCUUGUGAGGGACUUUGUCAUCUGGUGCCACACACACCACCUGCAUCUCAACACGUCGGAAACCAAAGAGCUAGUCAUAGACUAUGGGAAGUCCAGACCACCUCCUAGAUCAGCUCAGAUCUAGGGGGCUGUAUUUGAGAACUCCUUUAAGGAGCUCAGGCUGUAGCUGGACAACUGCAAUCAUUCAACAUCUGCAGGAAAGCCCUGUACUGUGGUAGCAAGCGUUUUCUUCUACUCUG
ensembl:lncRNA